GAUGAACGCUGGCGGCGUGCCUAAUACAUGCAAGUCGAGCGAACAGACUAGGAGCUUUCUCCUUGGACGGUAGCGGCGUACGGGUGAGUAACACGUAGGUAACCUACCUAUAAGACUGGGGUAACUUCGGGAAACCUGGGCUAAGACCGGAGAAGAUUUCGAACCGCAUGCUUCCAUAGUGAAAGGGUGCUGUGCUAUCACUUAUAGAUGGACCAGCGCCAUAUUAGCUAGUUGGUAAGGUAACGGCUUACCAAGGCAACGAUGCUUACCCGACCUAAGAGGGUCAAUGAGCACCCUAGCAGUGAGAGACGGCCCACACACCUAGGGGAAGACGCAGUCGGGACUCUUACGCAAUGGGCGAAAGCCUGACGGAGCACAGCGGCGUGAGCGCUGAAGCUCUUCGGCUCCUAAAGCGCUGUUAUUGGGCACGAACAAACGCGCAAGUAACUGUGAACGUAGUGACGGUACCUAAUCAGAAAGCCCCGGCUAACUACGUG
rnacentral:rRNA from 1 species